GACCGGGAUAACCCUGGGAAACUGGGGCUAAUACUGGAUAGGCAAUUAUUCCUGCAAUGGUUUUUUGUUUAAAUGUUUUUUCGCCUAAGGAUGGGUCUGCGGCCGAUUAGGUAGUUGGUUAGGUAAUGGCUUACCAAGCCGUUGAUCGGUACGGGUUGUGAGAGCAAGAGCCCGGAGAUGGAACCUGAGACAAGGUUCCAGGCCCUACGGGGUGCAGCAGGCGCGAAACCUCCGCAAUGUGAGAAAUCGCGACGGGGGGAUCCCAAGUGCCAUUCUUAACGGGAUGGCUUUUCAUUAGUGUAAAGAGCUUUUGGAAUAAGAGCUGGGCAAGACCGGUGCCAGCCGCCGCGGUAACACCGGCAGCUCUAGUGGUAACAAUUUUUAUUGGGCCUAAAGCGCCCGUAGCCGGUUUAAUAAGUCUCUGGUGAAAUCCUGUAGCUUAACUGUGGGAAUUGCUGGAGAUACUAUUAGACUUGAGACCGGGAGAGGUUAGAGGUACUCCCAGGGUAGAGGUGAAAUUCUGUAAUCCUGGGAGGACCGCCUGUUGCGAAGGCGUCUAACAGGAACGGUUCUGACGGUGAGGGACGAAAGUUAGGGGCGCGAACCGGAUUAGAUACCCGGGUAGUCCUAACUGUAAACGAUGCGGACUUGGUGUUGGGGUGGCUUUGAGCUGCUCCAGUGCCGAAGGGAAGCUGUUAAGUCCGCCGCCUGGGAAGUACGGUCGCAAGACUGAAACUUAA
rnacentral:rRNA from 1 species